rnacentral:tRNA from 1 species
GGAGAGGUGGCUGAGUGGUUGAAAGUGCCAGAUUGCUAAUCUGUUGUAUGUGUUAAUCAUACCGAGGGUUCGAAUCCCUUCCUCUCCU